UGGGGAAUAUUGCACAAUGGGCGCAAGCCUGAUGCAGCCAUGCCGCGUGUAUGAAGAAGGCCUUCGGGUUGUAAAGUACUUUCAGUCGGGAGGAAGGUGUCAAGGUUAAUAACCUUGGCAAUUGACGUUACCGACAGAAGAAGCACCGGCUAACUCCGUGCCAGCAGCCGCGGUAAUACGGAGGGGGCAAGCGUUAAUAGGAAUUACUGGGCGUAAAGCGCACGCAGGCGGUUGAUUGAGUCAGAUGUGAAAUCCCCGGGCUUAACCCGGGAAUUGCAUCUGAUACUGGUCAGCUAGAGUCUUGUAGAGGGGGGUAGAAUUCCAUGUGUAGCGGUGAAAUGCGUAGAGAUGUGGAGGAAUACCGGUGGCGAAGGCGGCCCCCUGGACAAAGACUGACGCUCAGGUGCGAAAGCGUGGGGAGCAAACA
rnacentral:rRNA from 1 species